GGAUGUGAGGUUGAUCUGGCUGUGACAUCUGUCACCCCACUGAUUGCCAGUGUUGACUCAGUUUGUCUGGCUAUGCGUGUGUCCCCCUCUUCCCUCACCACUCCAUGUGCAUCUCUCCUGAAGCUGCUCACUCAGUCUAAGAGGAGGAUGCCCCAAUAGAGGAUGAACAUUUCCUUGGUCAAGGGUAUAUGAGUAGCUGCCACUCCCCUGCUAGAAGAUCCAAAAUUUGAUUUUUUUUCAUUGAAAUAGGAAAAAAUACGUAGGAGGGCUAUAACUAGGUUCAGUGGGAUCUCCAAUCCUAGCU
rnacentral:snRNA from 1 species